AAAUUAAAUCAAAAUCAAAAUUAUAGUGAAAUUUUAAAUCGAUUUCAAUUUCUAGGCAUACCGCAAACCGAAACGGGAAUUGCACACCCCCAGGACUUGCAGUAUUUAAAAGGAAAUGGGCUUGCAGCUUAAACCAUUUACAUACUACUAUACCUUUGAGGUGCAGGCAAUUUGGAGAACAAAUUAACUCAACUUUGCUGUUUUUUCUUUGCAGAACCAAAAAGAAAUAGAGAACAUUUCUUACAAGAGCAGUGGCUGCUCUCCCUGAAAAUAUUUGGUAGAUCAGGGACAGAAUCCCAUUUCAUUUUCUUGAUCGUAUUGUUGAAGAUAAUCAUCUUGGUCACUAAGCAUUUUUUUUUACUGGGAUUAAACAAACCUGUAGAUUUACACUUGAAUAUUAAUUUCGCAGAACACGAAAAUAUCCCAGAAUACUGGGGUAGGUAAUAAAAACUUUAGAGAUUAAUACAAUAACUGCAUCAUUGAAGACCAUAAACAAGCAAUGCACCAACUGCACCAACACCAGCCAACAGCCCAAUAAUGACCCCAAUUGGAGGCAAACCACCUCCUAUUGCUUUUCCAGUAUUCACAUCAUAUCUUGCAAACCUUUUUUUUGGUGCUCUACAUUGUGGGCAUACAUAUGUAUCCGGCUGCUCAUCAAAAGGUUUCUGCGCAGUGUAAAUGUAUCCACAGUCGAGGCAUAUGUGAGUAGCUCUAGCCUGCCAAAUACUUUACAGAAUUUAUACAUAGACAGUGAUUUCAUCCAAAACUAGAACAUUCAAGUAUGGAAGAUUAUUGUAAUAGAGCAAAAGAAAACAGAUAAAUUAAAGAUUGCUUGCUUGCCUUCUGAGCAUCAGUUAGCUUCCUUCCAAAGCGGGGAGGAGCUGGACGCUUUGUUAGUUUUUUAAUAUCUACUUCUACACCUCUGUUAACAACAAAGUAGACAGAUUCUGGUUUUGCUUGGAUGGCAGUUUUAGUGAAUCCCAGCUUAUCAGCAGGCCAAAGUUCAUCCCCAAAGAAACUGCUAGUGUACAGCACUUGAUCCCCGGCUUUCAACCCUGCUUUAGCAGCAUUCCCACCUCCAUCUACAGCCGUGAUGACCACACCACCACCAUCCUUUUGACCCAGAGUGAGGCCUAGUGGUUUGUCAACAUCAACCUCAAUAGUCUUUGAAGCUCCAGCAGUUCUUGCAGUGAUCUGAAGCCCUCUUCUUGCAUUGGUGAAAUUGUUCUUCUUCUCAGCUAUGAAGAUCUCUGAGGAACCCCUUUUGGCAUCUUGAAGUGAUAGACCUUGAAAAGCAGUUCUCUGGCAUGGAGAGGAUAGUAUUGGUUUGGGGGAUGCAGUUGGAGGGGCUUUGAUGGAGUGGUUCCUGGUGAAGGUGGUGGAGCAAGAAGAGGAGGACCCUGCAACCACAGCUGAAGACAUAUUUGAAGGUACCAAAACAGAUGAAAGAGUCUCUUGUUAAGGAGUUUCAGUUAGUUAAAGGCAUGUACAGUAGUCAUUGGGUGUUGGUCUCGUUGAAGUUUGUGGAUAGAAUUGCUCAAUUGCAUGAGCAGAUAAUUUUCUAGAUACACUCGUAGGGAGAGCCACACGCCUUCAUUUCGAUUCCACAAAUCAUAUUAAAAAGAACACAUUUUGUGCCAGGAAAGAGAGCCACAACCCACAAGCUGUCUUUCCAUCCCAUGGGUUACAAAUCUCCCAUAUUUUUUUUCUUAAGAAAAGGAUAUAUCAUUAAAAGAGAGCCCUUAAAAGCCCAUACUUACUUCAAACUCAUAGCUCAACGCAAAAUCAAGAAUUAUAGAGCCCUAGAACCAAACGGGUAUGACCUAAAAUCUUAAUUCCAACCGCUCUGACACAGACGACAUCUCCUUCGUGAGCAAAAAUCGUCGACUACUAAAGGAGAGCUGCAAAACAGAACUUAAACACACAUGGGCUCAAUAGCGGCAAAGAGGAGAAUAAACACCCUACACCCCUUCUCGAAACAGCCAAUCUAUCCAAGGCAGCAACUUUCUCCUCAGAGGUAAUAGGAAUAAGAAUGCCAUGCACCAACCAGACAAACACCCAAGGCUAAGAACCAGCGUCAGAAUGAAUCAGAAUAAGACUCAGCAUCUCAAUCUCAUAUAGCCUAAAUGAAGGUGGAGACAACAACAAAAGUGAUUUCAAGUAGAGAUAGCAACAAGUAGAAUACUCGCGAAAAUUACCUACAGAAUCCAAUUAGAAUUCUCAAAAUUCAAAAACAGAAAUUAAGUAGUUAUCCGAUCUACCUCGAAAACCCUCUAUUGGAACCCAAAAUGUAGAGGACAAAUAAAUAAAUAAAGCCAAAAUUAUACACACCCAUUCUCCACUGACGGAGAGAGGUUGGAACCACAUUCGGACUACGCCCAUAUGGUUCAAAGGCAGGGAUGGAUACUGACCACACUAGAGACACGAAACCCUUACAGUCUGGGAAAUCUUUUACACUCUGUUUGGGAAACACUGUGUUUGGGAAAUCUUUUAAGCUUUGUUUGCGGAAUC
rnacentral:misc_RNA from 1 species